UCAUGUUUCAAUAUAAUCAAUUUCUAGGGGUCCACAAAUUGUCAGGGGUUUCAAACUGUUGGACCAGGAUGUCCAACUCAAAAUUCUAAGCAGAGGAUCUGGGCCUCUAAAACGAGCCCAACACUAUUAACCAUUAAAUAAUUACAAACCAGAAUCAAUUAGUAGUUCAAAUAGAUACAAAAGCAAAGCAGUUUACAUCAUACAUUUAUCUAAUCAUAACAUGAAUUAAACUGUUCCAUUAGCAUAGAUUUAGCUCUACGCUUCCCUUUUUUGUUCGAAUUUACAUGACAGGAGUUAUCUCCAAUGUUGUGAUGCUUCAUUCUCAAGGCCAAUGUUUGAUUUACAAGGAGAUAGCCACUGGGGUAUCCUUGCAAAUUACCUUGGUUGUAUCAACAAACAACAGUUAACAACACAUUAGUUAAAUAACAUAUUCAAACGUGAAUUUUUAUUUUUUACAAGUAUAUCAUUGUCCAUAGUAAGCAUAUUUAAUUAACAUUCAGGCUAUUGGCACCAGAAAUCUAUCAUGGGAAGAAAUUUUAGGUAAAUUCAACAACUGACAUGCUAGAUUUAUGGAAUCACAUGCAAAAAGAACAUAAGCCAAACUCAGAUUUCACUUUUCAACUCAAGAUAAAGCAGGACAAAUGUGAAUUCACAUACCUAAUGGCAGAAAGAACUGAACAAAGUUGAAUAAGGUACUGAUAGUGAAAGACGAAGCUUAAUAACACAGGACCAGCAGACCAAAAAGCUUGAAAAAAACUUUAGAAACUAUGUAGCUUAACCAAUAGCAGAAACAAAAUAGCAGCAAGAACCAGCAGUAUAUCAGCCUUACACUCGGUCCAUUUUCGACUUUAAAAAAAAUCCCAGAGAAGUUCUAUAAGUUUUUGCUAAAAAUAUCAGAGGAAAAGAGAGUCAGCUCCUCAGGAUAACAGCAGCUAAACUUUUGGAGUGUAUUUUAGGGUUUACAAUCUGAUUUUCUGUAUAUAAAAGGUACUAUAUAUAAGCACCAUAGAUACCAUCUGCUGAAAGAAUUAUUCCAUCAGCCACAAAAAGCAUAUUCUAACAAAAUUGGAUAACUGGUUGUCCUUCAUUGGUCUCAGUACUUUGUACUAACCAAAUGAGGCCAGCUGCCCCCCUAUUCUAGAACAUUCCAGCUUGGAUUUUAUCCAAUUUUAGAAUUAUCUACCCCUUUAUGACCCCUUAAGUUUCCUUUUGUUCAAUUAAGACCCUAGGAGUUCCUGCUAAUUAACAAACUAGGACUAAUACCACAAAACCAAAAAUCAAAAGAAAAUAAGGAAUAAACCCUAAUUCAAUUAAACCUUUAACUAAACCUAAAUUCUUUUAUCAUGAACUGAAAUCAGAAAUGAGAUAGAAAAACAAAAACAUUUGAACCUAACACUAACAUGAGUCCAGAAUUAAUCAAUAAUGUACCAUUUUCUAAGAAUUAAACCCAUCCAACCAACAUUAUUACACCAGGAAACAUAAUCAACAAAAGGAAACUAGCAUACUGAUUUGAAAUCAAACAAGCUAAACUAAUAUUAACAAACCCUAAAUGACAAACUGACUCAAUUGAUGAUUUUGAUUGAAAAUGCCUAAAUUUAUGAGCCCUAAAACUACUGACUAAACACGUCCAAAGACUAAAACAAGGAUGGCUCUUAAAAAUAUGAAGAACAAACAGAUUAACAAACUGAAAAUCAAACUAGAAAGAACACUGACUUCGAAAAUUAAAAAAAAAAGAAGGAAAGUGGAUAGGUAAAUGAUACCUUACUAUUUGAGGAGUAGAAAGCAAACAAAACAGCUUUUGAGGUCCGACUCCGCCCUGAUUGACCAACAAAGGUCUUUUCCUUCAAGGGAUCCGGUCUUGCAUGGUUUUCGACCAGAUCUCCUUGAAAGAAAAGACUCUUGAAAGCCUAAUCCUCGAAGGAAAAUUCGGGAAAAGGUCUCAAGACUCUAACGCAGACAGAAAUCCUUCUUAGACUUGAAAUUGCAGAGUUUUGUGGGGUGGUUUAGGGAAAUCAAUGAACUAUCAAGGGCAUGGGGAGUGAGGAGACAGUGAUGAAGUUUUUGGGUUAACUUGGGUGAACUAGGGUUUUUGGGAUUGAAACUCAUAUAUGAAAUUCGGGGAAUUUGAGGAUAUUUUUGGGGACAUGGUUGAUGGAUUUAGGAAAAGGAGGGAACAUGGGUUAUGGAGUGUUAAUUUGGGGGUGUUUGGAGCACCGGAAGCGCCGUGAGGCGAUUUCCGAUGGUGGUUAGCAGCGGAGGCGGUGGGGGUUUUUUAGGAAGCUAAGAUUCUCUAGGUUUGGGUGAGGAGAAUGAAGGGGG
rnacentral:lncRNA from 1 species